rnacentral:lncRNA from 1 species
GUGACUGGCAUGUGCGGAGUUGCAUUUUGAAGUUGGAAUUUCCAAAAUGGCCGCCGUAACCAUGGAAACAGCAAAAUUGUCCAAAAUUUCAAAAUGCUCCAAACUCAAUGAAAUUUUGCAAAAAUGAUAAUUUGCAAGUGUAGAUGCACUCUUUGACUUUGGAAUUUCCAAAAUGGCUGCCGCUCGCCUGGCAAUGGGGGGACGAGGGUGCCAUCCGUUAUUGCUAGCAAUUACAAAUCUAGUUAUUAUUUUUAUUCUUCUACACUUUUCUCACAGUUCUCGGAAUUGGAUGGACCAAUCUUGAUGGAACUAUGCUAUAAUGUUGUCCACCAUGUGAAGUUGUGCACCUGACUUUGGAAUGUGCAAGAUGGCCGCGGUUACCAUGGAAACUAAAAAAAUGUAAAAGAAAAUCAAAAUUCUAACUCUUUCGUUAUAAGAGCCAACCUUAUGAAACUUUGUGCAAAUGUUGGUGGUGGGGCCCCGAGGUACCAACAAUACUUAGAAAUUCCAAAAUGGCUGCCAUUGCCAUGGAAACAGGCGAAAUGUUUAACUUAGAACAUUCCAGAACAUCAAUGUUAAAUUUAUUCUAGAAACAUUUUG